rnacentral:rRNA from 1 species
UACGGUGGGGGCAAGCGUUGUUCGGAAUUACUGGGCGUAAAGGGCUCGUAGGUGGCCAACUAAGUCAGACGUGAAAUCCCUCGGCUUAACCGGGGAACUGCGUCUGAUACUGGAUGGCUUGAGAUUGGGAGAGGGACGCGGAAUUCCAGGUGUAGCGGUGAAAUGCGUAGAUAUCUGGAGGAACACCGGUGGCGAAGGCGGCGUCCUGGACCAACACUGACGCUCAUGUGCGAAAGCGUGGGGAGCAAACAGG